UAAGAUCCGAUUGCGGUUUAAGUU
rnacentral:siRNA from 1 species